GUUACGACAUGUCGUAACACAUAAAUCUUAGUCGAAAGGGUACGUCGACAUUUGGCGAGAGUUUUUCCCCUUUUUAUAUCUAAUAUCAUACGUAUGGCAAUAUAACUCAUUAACAAUAUAAAGUAGAGGACUAGAGUCUUUUUAUAUGAGGUCCUUGGUUUAUGACCUUGAAAUUGAGCUCAAGGUCAUAUGCUUAUUUAACGCUCUAGAUUUUGACCUUUGCUUUUACCUCAUAUGUACACA
rnacentral:lncRNA from 1 species